UAAAGAUCGAAUGGAAGAUAGAGACAAAGCAGGUGUUUACAACAUACCAAUAAAGGAUAAGAGGUCUGACCAAAAUAAAGAAUACAUAGAACUUACAACGCGUACCUUAACAGAAAGGCUAAACGAACAUAAGAAUGAUUUGAUCAAAGGCAAUUUAACCACUGCCUUAGCACAGGAAUUUUACGCGUCUGAUAUUGAGGUAUUAUGGGCAGUGCCAAAAUUGUUAAGAGAGUCAAGGAUACAAAGCAAGGGCUGUUACGAGAGUCUCUUGAAAUUGAGAAGAAAAAGAAGAACGGGAGCAUAAUAAACAACAACGAAUCCACAGAACUGCCACCAGCAUGGAAAUAUGCCGUAAAAGAGAUGUGCUGAUAACGAC
rnacentral:lncRNA from 1 species